rnacentral:lncRNA from 10 species
CUUCAGUUACUUCAGGCCAUCUGGGCGUAUACGUGCAAGUCACAGGGGAUGCGAUGGCUUGGCUUGGGCUCAGAGGCCUGACAUUAUUUAACAUUGUAUGAAUGCCUUGCCAGCUAAGAAGGUAUGGGCAAAGCUGUACCCCAAGGGCCAUUGAUCCUACUUAGAACAACGUGAAAAUGUCUCUCUAACCUACUACUGUAAGAAUGGGUUAUCUGGUAACAAUGCCUGCUCAGGCACCACUUGUGCAACUAGAAUCAAUACCACUGUCAUACACAAUUGUGAUAAGUUGUUUCCUAAGCACCCUCACUGUGUUCAUGUGGUUGGUUGUGUCUACUUGGGUUCAUAUGUUUCUAUUUCAACAACACUUGAGUGGUGUUCUUUCAUUGGAUCUUUGAAAAUUAGCUGUUUAAGUGAGACUAACCAAACCAUUUACUAGAAAGUUAAACAAUGUAUUCUACAUGUUGGUAAUUUCAAUAUAUACAGCAAUCCUUAUUUUUACUUAACCAUUAUUUCCAAUAGGACUCCAAAUCUUGUGUGGUUAGAGUCAAUAUUUCAAUACUAACACUGGUUAUCUGUUUUGUGUCAUUCUAUUCUCUUGUUCUCACCGGUUAUCUUCUAAUGAAAUAAAAAGAACUUCAGAAGUGGACUGCCUGCAGGGCUUUAUUUGACACCUUCUGCAUUCACUAAAUCCAAAGUAUAUUGUCUACCAACCAAGAAUGUUUUCCCUGCAACUGAGAUAGGGUAUCGCUAUGUUUCCCAGUCUGUUCUCAAACUCCUGGCCUCAGGAGAUCCUCUCAGUUCAGCCUCCCAAGUAGCUGGAAUUACAGGUGCAAUCCACCACACUCAGCUUUAAAUAAUGUUUUAUAACAUUAAAUGUAACCCUGAUGAAGAAUCACUACAUAUAUGUGCAUAUGUAUAUAUGUGUAUGUAUAAUAUAUAUAUUAAAAAUUAGAUAUAUGAAAAUUAGAUAUAUGUAGUAUGUUUUAUAACAUAUAACCCUAGUGAAGGAC